rnacentral:rRNA from 1 species
UGGGGAAUAUUGCACAAUGGGGGAAACCCUGAUGCAGCGACGCCGCGUGAACGAUGAAGGUUUUCGGAUCGUAAAGUUCUGUUGCAGGGGAAGAUAAUGACGGUACCCUGUGAGGAAGCCCCGGCUAACUACGUGCCAGCAGCCGCGGUAAUACGUAGGGGGCUAGCGUUAUCCGGAUUUACUGGGCGUAAAGGGUGCGUAGGUGGUCUUUCAAGUCGGUGGUUAAAGGCUACGGCUCAACCGUAGUUAGCCUCCGAAACUGGAAGACUUGAGUGCAGGAGAGGAAAGUGGAAAUCCCAGUGUAGCGGUGAAAUGCGUAGAUAUUGGGAGGAAAACCAGUAGUGAAGGCGGCUUUCUGGACUGCAACUGAAACUGAGGCACGAAAGCGGGGGUAGCAAACAGG